GGCAUGCAGCUACAAAAAGCAGCAUAAUAGUUCCCCAUUUAUGCUCCUUUUUUCUCUGUAUUUUCCUCAAGACAUAUUGUAAGAAAUGCCAUCAAGGAAGAACUUCAUGGUUCAAAGAAGAUACAGACAUAACAAGGCUAACAAGGUGGAGUGUUUCCCUGUGUUCAAUGGAAUUAGAUGAGAUGAUGAUAAUAAGCUCUUCUAUCCCAAAAAUCUCUAAGUUAAGAUGUGCGCUUAGUCUCAGAACAGCAUACUGCAGUGACAAACCUUGCAAUUCAGAGCCAUUCCUUAAAUAACAGAUGAAAUAAAUUACCUGGAGAACCCAAAGUCGCGCAUUUGUGGACAGCCGGCAAACCUCACACAUUGUUUCUAAAUUUAAAAAGCUUGAGAAAAGAGGAGGUUCAUCCCCUGCUAACAAAGGUGGCUGUGAGUUGGAGAAUGUGUGGAGACAUGCAGACUUCUUCUGCAAAACCAAGUCGGGCUCCUGCAAAGCUUCUGAUGUGGAGGUGCCCCAGCACUUGGGUGACCCUGGGAAAGUGAGGGGGAGCAUUUGCUGCAUGGUUGUUGUUGCUGCUUUCCAGAUCAGGGCAGUGUGGUUUUGUAACAGGAAGGACUGGGUGACAUAUUCAUGCUUCUGGGGCAGUAAGGAAUCAUAGAAACUCUGCUCCUUAUUAAAUGGGUGGAAAUGUGCUGCAGUGAAAACCUGCUAAUGGACACUUGGGUCUGUGCACUCUCUGUGUGCUUUGGCCUUAUGGAAGAUCAAGUUUAAGUGUAUUUUUUCCUUUUUUUUUUUUUUUUCUUUCUUUUUAAUGAGCACGGUGAUGGUUAAAAGAACCUAAGCUAAACUUAACCUUACAGUCUGUUAAAUCAAUGGGAUGACACCACUCUGAAACUAUUCUGAUAUGCAGAAACUGUACUACCACA
rnacentral:lncRNA from 1 species